AACAGUACCUAAGCUCAGAAAG
rnacentral:miRNA from 1 species